AUCACCCCAACAAGAUAAGAACUGGAUUUCAUCACCAGAUUCUUGCCCAAAUUAGGUGAACCAAUUCGCACAUAGCUAUCAUUUUAAUUAAAAUCAAUUAGACGUUGGCCCCUAGGGACAUUCGAGCUCAAUAGGACGAAGAUCACCGAAAGUUGCACCAAUUUCGCUCUGUGGCUCAGUUGAUGUCUAGGCAAGCUUUGUCCCAAGGGAGACAGUUCAUCUGUUCGAGGCAAGUGAUUUUUAAGUGGGACCUUUGCAACGCAUCGUGACCCCCCCACUUACCUGGGAGCUUACCUGGUCAAC
rnacentral:lncRNA from 1 species